rnacentral:rRNA from 1 species
CCGUCUAAGGUGGGACAGAUGAUUGGGGUGAAGUCGUAACAAGGUAGCCGUAUCGGAAGGUGCGGCUGGAUCACCUCCUUU